UCUUCUAGUAUAUAUCUAACUCUGUGUAUGAAGUUAUUCUAUAAUUGAAGUACAUUUUGCACUGAAUCUCUCAAUGCUUAGUUGCCUCUUCUUGCAUCUGUUUAAAGUCAGGUGGGACUUGUGUAAGGUAAAUGGGAGAUGGGGGACCUUCCGUCCUCUUCCUGUAUUACUGCCCUCAUUUGCUGACAAUUUGCUUGACGCCAUUGAUUCCGUCAGGCUCUGUUGCAGCGGCAGCCUCUUCUUGGAUUCUGGGAGCUCAGUGCGUUUGAGACCCUGUCACUUUUCUUGGAAGGGCCAAGCCGGCAGCCAGGCCGAGCAGGGGAAGCCUGACGCGGCUGUGAUUCGCGGGGAAAGCUUUAAACCCGCCUAGGAAGAGUCCCGCAGAAGGCUCCCCGCGAGCUGGGCCACCCCGCGGAGGCCGAGACCACGCUUGGCGGCUCCCCUCCCUGGCCUGCCUCGCCUCUGGAUCCGCUCGCUCCUAGUCCGGGAAGCCUAGAAGACCGCUUCCCAGGGGAGGAAGGGGGCCGGGCAGGUGGUGGGAGCUCCAGAGUGCGGGUGGUGGCGAUCACGUCUGGUCUUGUAAGAAAGCCGUUCGCUGGCAGCCAGGGGGGCGAGGACUUCCACAUUCCGGUUAAGUGUUGAGGGGCCCGGCGUCCACCCUGCGCAAGGUCCAUCACCAUCCCAGCCAGCCGGCGGCUGGGCGCGGAGAGGGCUGAGAGGAGAGUGCGCGCUGGAAUUGGGCGUCGAACCCACGUGCGGGAGACUCCCGGCCUCUGCACUCCACCGGCCCCAGGCCCCUGUUGGCUGACCCCCUCGGCGACCCUGAGGGUCCGCGCCACCCCCCGGCCCACUCCUGCCACGAAGCAGGCGGAGCUGCCAGCAGGCGGCACUCCCGGGGCCGCGUCGCCGUCGCCAGGCAGGGAUCGAUGGGCGCCAGCCCCGCGGGGCUUGGCCUCAGGACAGAGGGCGGCGACCUCGGCGGUGGUCGCAGAGAAUUUAUAGCUCGGCAGUUACCACGGUCCGGGCGGGGAGGCAGGCUUUUCAGCUGCUCCCCGGUUCCCUGUCCCGAGCACGCGUGAUGGCAGGAGAAAGCGGCGGGGAGGCUCUGGGGAGCGAAGGCCCAGCGUGGCGGGCGCGUCCCCAGGGGUCCCCGCUCCGCCUGCGCCCACACGCGCCUGUCGAAGGGCCCUGGAACGCUGUAUAUUUCACGUUUCCUAGAAUGAGAAAUGAGAUACCAGAGGACUCUGGCCUCCUUUGCCCCUUUUGC